GAUGAACGCUGGCGGCGUGCUUAACACAUGCAAGUCGAACGGUGAAAGAGAGCUUGCUCUCUGGAUCAGUGGCGAACGGGUGAGUAACACGUGAGCAAUCUGCCCCUGACUCUGGGAUAAGCGCUGGAAACGGCGUCUAAUACCGGAUACGAGCUGCGAAGGCAUCUUCAGCAGCUGGAAAGAACUUCGGUCAGGGAUGAGCUCGCGGCCUAUCAGCUAGUUGGUGAGGUAACGGCUCGCCAAGGCGUCGGCGGGUAGCCGGCCUGAGAGGGUGACCGGCCACACUGGGACUGAGAGACGGCCCAGACUCCUACGUGAGGCAGCAGUGGGGAAUAUUGCACAAUGGGCGCAAGCCUGAUGCAGCAGCGCCGCGUGAGGGAAGACGGCCUUCGGGUUGUAAACCUCUUUUAGCAGGGAAGAAGCGAAAGUGACGGUACCUGCAGAAAAAGCACCGGCUAACUACGUG
rnacentral:rRNA from 1 species